rnacentral:rRNA from 1 species
CAGGUCUUGACAUCCCUUGACAACUCCAGAGAUGGAGCGUUCCCUUCGGGGACAAGGUGACAGGUGGUGCAUGGUUGUCGUCAGCUCGUGUCGUGAGAUGUUGGGUUAAGUCCCGCAACGAGCGCAACCCUUAUUGUUAGUUGCCAGCAUUCAGUUGGGCACUCUAGCGAGACUGCCGGUGACAAACCGGAGGAAGGCGGGGACGACGUCAGAUCAUCAUGCCCCUUAUGACCUGGGCUACACACGUGCUACAAUGGCGUAUACAACGAGUUGCCAACCUGCGAAGGUGAGCUAAUCUCUUAAAGUACGUCUCAGUUCGGACUGCAGUCUGCAACUCGACUGCACGAAGUCGGAAUCGCUAGUAAUCGCGGAUCAGCACGCCGCGGUGAAUACGUUCCCGGGUCUG